UUACAGCUGUCACACGCACGCACUCAUGCUUGGCACAGACAACUGGCAGUCACGCGGUGGUGCCUUGCACUGCCGCGGUGACAGAUGGAACCCUAGUGGUCGUCGUCUUCUUUUUCUCCUGCUUCGACCCCCGCCGACUCGGCUGGACGCUGGACGAGAUCAUCGUCGAGGUCCGCUCUACUCCACCCUCCACGUUCUUCCCGUGCAACGUAAUGCAAGCUUCCCGAGGAAUUUCCUUGUGGUAAGCUUAGCGCGACCAUCUAGAGCCGAAGUGCAGGCUACCUGUUCGACCAAAUGUCCCAGAAGAAAACCAAAGUCGACGCCGUCCUCGAAGGAGAGACGUAUGGCGCCGGCACCGUAACCGCCCAUGUUGACCGCCUCAGUGACCUCCCAGAUGCGCUCCUCCACAAGGUCAUGUCGUUCCUGCGGGCGUGGGAGGUGGCUCGCACCUGUGUGCUCUCGCGCUGCUGGCGCAACCUCUGGGCCUCUGCGCCCUGCCUCGACCUCCGGGUCUGUUGCAAAGCCCGUCACGGCCGGCUACCCAUGCGACUCGCCAGGUUCGCCAACCACUUCUUGCUCCUUCGGGAGGUGUCUGCGCCGUUGGACACACUCCGGCUCCUGUCCAGCCCAACGUCGUCUGUUGAUGAUGAUUCAGUGCUGUAUAGCCCUAAAUAUGAUGACGACGGGGGGAUUACUGCUCUACGGAUGUCGACAUGUGGAUCCGUGCUGCCAUAAACCGCAGGGCACGGUUUAUCCAGCUUAGUCAUCAUCCAAGGGAUGAUGCCUUCUCUGAUCUUGAGCACGUGCCGUUCAUCUCCUGCCACCUGAAACACCUGCACCUGUCUGGCACAAUGUUGCGAGACAAGACACUAAUGCAGCUCUCUUCUCAGUGUCCUUCUUUGGAAGUCCUGGAACUCAAGGAGUGCUUCCUGUAUGCCCCCCAGAUAUCAUCUGCCUCACUUAUUAGUUUGACCAUGGUUGAGUGCAGGAUCAUGGCUGACCUGUCCAUCGCUGCUCCAAGCCUUGUAUCACUGUGCUGUGUCAUACCAUACCACCGUGCUCCGUCGUUUGAAAACCUGGGGUCGCUGGCUACCGGCACCAUCAUGUUAAAUGACUCUUUCUUGCAUGAUAAGUUUGAAUACAAGUACAAAGAUCGCGAUGAAGAUGCAUUUGAAUGUGAUAGCGGCGACGACAGUGACUCUGAUGAUGACCACUGUGAUAGUGAUACUGAUACCGACUUGAGAACUUCUGACAUAUUGGAUGGUGCUAAAGUUUUAGGUGGCCAAAAUGUUAUCCGCAGCCUUUCAAAUGCUACAAGUUUAGACCUGAUAGCUGAUGCCGGAGAGUUGAUUCUGAAUAGGGAAUUGGAAAUAUGCCAAAUUUUUAGCAACCUGAAGGUGUUAACCCUUGGUGAAUGGUGUAUGGCUGCCGACUUCUAUCCGUUAGUUUCAUUCUUGCAGCAUGCUCCAAAUCUGGAGUCUCUUUUUCUUAAACUUAAAACGGAUCAUGAGGAAAUAGAAGACAAUAUCAGACUGGAGGGUAUAUCAUUUGCUUGCAAGAACCUUACAAUGGUCAAGAUAAAAUGUCCCAAGGAUGACGAAAGAGUUCCUGUGUUAACACAAAUGUUCAUGGCUAAUGGCAUACCCAUCGAAAAGAUAGAUGUCUGUCACCGUCAGACUCGCAAAACUUGUCAUCAAUCCUUGGCCCUAAGGCGUGGAUAUGCUGCUUUGUAGGAACUGCAAUUUCAGCGGUAUCACCGCAAUGGAAGCCAUUGGCUAAGGCUGGCCUCGCUCAUUUCCAAGAUCCGGGUGCCUUCUCACUCUGUCCCCGCCUCCCCUGCGCUGGUGUCUUCUGGAGCUGGAGGGUAGAUCCUUCUUUACCUGGUUUUUGCUGGCCUGCGUGCCAUGGUUGCCUCGUUGGCUGCAUGGAUCGGUGAUAUAUACUCGAAGGCAUGAAACUGGUAUUUAAUAAUACUCCAGGUGAGAUAUAUGCAGGUGUUAUGGAUUGUGGUUUCGAGGAAAACAAUUAUGGAACUCAAUAUGCAUCCGUUAAGUUUCUGAAGCUUGAUCGACAUCUUUUAUCAGUUGUUAAUUAGUACUAGGAUUCUUAUGCAUGUCUACUGCUGUUUAGGAAACUAAAGACAUGAUGGUUCCGUUUGGGACGAAAAAGAAAAGUAGCACCAGGUGUGUUAACCCAAUGCUUAGGUGAUUAAAUGCAGAUAAAAAAAUUAUCCCCUGUUUGAGCAGUAUGGAAGUACACAUGGUUAUUUGGUCAGUGGCCUUCUUGGCAUAUGUAGAUUUUCUGUGUUCUGAAUUUUUAGCCCUUGUGAUUCUUGUAGGUUAUGCUUUAUUCAGGCGUAUAACUUGUACUUCCAUUGCUCUACAUUUUACUUAAAUCACAUAUUUGACACUUUGUACAAUCUGCAGUUAAUUACUAAAUCCCCAGAGUUGCAGAGGAGUUCUACAUUAUUUCAUUAGUCCAUUUAGAGCAUGUCAAUUGGAUGUAUAAGUUAUUUAGGGGUAAAAUCAACUUCCCUCUGAAGUCUGCUGCUGGUCAUGCUCUUUUAUAUGAUGGUCUGAUCUGGUCACACUCUUUCGACAGUCGAUGCAUAUUUUCUUUUGGGUAAUUUGCUUCACCUAAGCUUCAGUAGCACUGUGCAUGGCCCUUUGAGUUCAUAUCUUCUAUUGGCGUCUGAAAACUAUCAUUUUUGGUCAUCUGAUAUCACUCUAUUCAUGCUAUCAAUUUUUCUUUCUCACUAUAUGGUAGUCCUUGACCUGUUUGUGUCAUCGGAGAAGGGAAUUUUCCUUUUUUUCACUUUUAUCUUGUUUUCUUUUAAUAUAUUGGUUUUAGUUGUAUAUUAUAGAAGGAUUGGACAUGGAGAUCUAAGAUGGAAGCGUUUGUGUAUAUACUGUACCUCUGUAUAUCUUUCCAAGUUCCAUCUUGCUUUAUCAUACAUUUUAAAAGAAUAGUUGUUUUCUGAGUCAUUGAUGUACUUAUGUUGUGUUGUCACCGACCAUGAGUAUAUAACAGUUUGUUGGACAAAAGUAUUCUUGUGGUCUGUGCCAUGGUUGGGCACCAUAUUAAAUAUAAAAUGAUAACAUUGCAAGCAUUUUUAUUUUGAAGGGCUAACAAGAAAGGAUUUCUUCCGGCAGCAUAACAAAGAACCCAUUGGGUAGAUGCAACACCCGAAUGCCUUUUUGACUAAAUCAUUUUAAUUAACUAAUUACAGUGGCGGAGCUAGAUGGGGAGGCAAAGGGAAAAUACAUCAAUUCUUGAGCGGUCCAAAAACUAUAAUUUGUUUUAUUAAGCACCCCCAAGAGUUCUUUAUUCACACAUUUUUUCAAGGUUGGGGGUUUAAUGUAAGUUUUCUGCUAUUAAAACUGCAACUUUCCAUCCUGAUUGUGUCCAUGAUUAAGUUUUGGGUGUGGGCAGGGCAGGAGAUCAAGCACUCCGUCCUCUGCCAGGUCGCCGCCGCUGCCCGGGACGUGGACGCGCACGUGGGUCCGUCAGUCGCUGGCAAACAAGGUCGAGUCCGUGCAGAGCACUGGUCUCCUCCCUAUCGUCGUCGUCCUCCCUGCUGCCAGCGACGCCCUCCUGUCUCCUCUGCACCAGUCUACUCCUUCAUAUUAUUUACAAAAGAAAAUGGUUUGGGGUGAAGAGUUGAAGGCUUGAAGCCAAAUGUUCCUAAUCAAGAAGAUGACCCGCACAACUCCCCUGAAACAAGGCCAACACUAUGUGCCAAGAUUGAAGAUCCCAAAUAUGUUUACUUUGGUCCAAUAUCGUAUAGCAGUGUAAUGCUUCAGGCACUUUUUAUCAUUCAUUUUUAUUAUUCAAAUCUCUAUAUGGUUGCCAUAGAUGCUACUAUUACAUGGAUUUAUUACUAUUUUUCAUGUGUUGUUGAAAAUAGAACUCACUCAUUUAUUUGUCUACGUAGGGAGUAGUAUACAGUAAGCUUCAUUUCACUGAGGAGAUCUUCCAUUACCUAAAGUUAUUAAUUUCAAUAUGAAUUCAGAAUUC
rnacentral:rRNA from 1 species